GACGAACGCUAGCGACGUGCCUAAGAAAUGCAAGUCGAGCGAGGUUAGAGAGCUUGCUCUCGAAGCCUAGCGGCGAACGGUCGCGUAACACGUAAGCAACCUGCCCUGAAGUGGGGGAUAGCCUUCCGAAAGGAAGAUUAAUACCGCAUGUGAAUGCUUUUCCGCAUGGUUAAGUAUUUAAAGCAGCAAUGCGCUUCAGGAUGGGCUUGCGGCCUAUCAGCUAGUUGGUGGGGUAAUGGCCUACCAAGGCGACGACGGGUAGCUGGUCUGAGAGGAUGGUCAGCCGGACUGGGACUGAGAUACGGCCCAGACUCCUACGGGUGGCUG
rnacentral:rRNA from 1 species